UAGAUAGAAGCUUGUUGGCUUAGGCGCCUAGCUGUUAACUAGGAGUUCACGGGAUCAAGGCCCGUCUAUCUAG
rnacentral:tRNA from 1 species